rnacentral:rRNA from 1 species
UACGUAGGGUGCAAGCGUUAAUCGGAAUUACUGGGCGUAAAGCGUGCGCAGGCGGUGAUGUAAGACAGUUGUGAAAUCCCCGGGCUCAACCUGGGAACUGCAUCUGUGACUGCAUUGCUGGAAUGCGGCAGAGGGGGAUGGAAUUCCGCGUGUAGCAGUGAAAUGCGUAGAUAUGCGGAGGAACACCGAUGGCGAAGGCAGCCUCCUGGGCCAACACUGACGCUCAUGCACGAAAGCGUGGGGAGCAAACAGG